rnacentral:rRNA from 1 species
UCCGUAGCUGGAUUGUUAAGUCUCUUGGGAAAUCCGCCGGCUUAACCGGCGGGCGUCUAAGAGAUACUGGCAACCUAGGGACCGGAAGAGGUGAGAGGUACUCCGGGGGUAGAAGUGAAAUUCUGUAAUCCUCGGGGGACCACCUGUGGCGAAGGCGUCUCACCAGAACGGCUCCGACAGUGAGGGACGAAAGCUGGGGGAGCAAACAGGAUUAGAUACCCUGGUAGUCC